ensembl:lncRNA
CCUGCUGUGGAGGGUAUCCGGGGCCGGGUGGAGGCAUGCCGGGGUUGGGGACGUCCUGGUAGGGCGGAGGAGGGGGCGACUGGCCCAUGGGGUGCUUCCCUUCAGUCCAGUCCAGUGGAGGAGCGCCCGACGAGUUGUUAGGAUUCAUGCUGCAGCAACUUUAAUCUCACAUGAAAAACUUAAACGUCCCUUUUCACCGCCGGGUUCAUGGGAUUCCCACGAAAAUCUUAACGAACAACUUUUUCUUUCAACACCCUGACUUCUGACUCCUGUCCUGCUGAUGCUGAUUCAAGACUUCAUUGACUAAAUGGCCCCACAAGUGCCAAGUCACACUGAAUAUAUAAGAAACCUAUCGGUGAGCACUUUCAAAUUAAAAGCACCAGAACAGCUGAGCGAUGAAUUCGGCUUCUUUUGUGAACAACAGUCCAGAAUUCACCAUGGUUAUGUUUUGUUUUGUUUUUUUUUAACGUCUUUUACAGUUCUGUGGGUAGAAUCGGCACCAUGAUACACAGCAAGAUUACCAAUUAAUUCUGGCCUGGUUAAAUUUGACAUAAGAAAAGCCUCCAUGUACCUAUUUUGAUUGUAAAUUUAACAUUUUUGUAAGUCUUUGUAGAUUCUCGGAGCUUUGGUAUUAUGUUGGAGCUUUAUUUAAUAAGCUGUUUUAUUUAUGUAUGUAUUUAUUUGAGAGGUUUCUCGUGCAAGAGGUGAAAUGUCUUCCUGCUCAUCCUCACUUAUUUCAGCACUGAUAAUUAACAACGUUAGAAAACUUGUGCACUACACUAAUGAUUGCAAUCUAAUUAAGUCUGAGGGUGUAGAAUUUAAUAGAUAAAUGCUUCACUGCAACCAGCAAUCCCAUAUACCUGUCAGUCACAAAAAUAUUGUGUAGGUGCAAACAAAAGUAAUAAAGCUACACUAUGGGACAAUGUAUAUGUGGAAAACUGCCCAUCAUUAGGUCUGUAACACUCCAGAUCAUCUGCACAGAUGCAGGUGAAGAUGUCUGUUUUCUCCUUCAUUUUCCACUCCACACUGCAUUUGCAUUGUUCCAUGAAUAAUCUGGACAGGACACAUGGAGUGAAAGCAUUUACUGAUGACAAACUGACUCACAAGGAAAAAACACAGCAAAGUAAUUUAUUAAAUAAGUGAGAUUACUUAAACACAAAGCUUGUGGAGUGUGAAGUGUUGGAUGUGCAUGAGAGUGAAGAUAGUGUUGUAAGAUGUUAAAAAAAACAAACAAACAAACAAAAAAAACCCCAAGACAACAGCACAGGUGAGGCUGGUAGGAGAGUGAAAGAGGGAGUGACUGCCAGCUGCAUUCAAGCUUAACAGAUCAGGAAAUACCAACUAAGGUGUUCCCAGUUAACGCAAACGACCCCUGCAGCCACUACACACAGCAGACAAAGAAACGAGCAGGAGUCAUCACAAUGUUGAACCCAAGUGCUUUAAAUAUAUUUAUUGUCACCUAAUAUCUAAAUCAUCUGACCACUCAGAGCUGCAGGGAGGGGCGGACAGGACAGGAAGAUUCCCAGAGACGUUUGCUGGAAGUCAGAACUCUUUAACGCUGAGAUUUAUCUGAUCAUGUGGCUCUGAACACUGAGGUCCAUUGUUCUGUUUUCACUGGAUCCAGCAGGAUGCAUCCCGUAAAUAUAGGAAAGUACAAUACACAGCUUUGUUUUUGGGAUGCUGUUGUUUCAGUUUUCCUUUUUCCAGUUUUGAACCAACAACAAAAACAAGCAAAAUAAAAAACACAACAAAAACAAACUGAAAAUUGUUCCGUUUUUCAUUUUUCUAUUUUAAACCAACAAGAAAAACUUUUUUAAAAGGCCCCUUUUUGUUUUUCCGUCAGGAAAAUAAGAACUAAAUAAAUAAAGGCUCUUUUAAAUUUUUAUUUAUGUUUUUUUAAACGUUUUAUAAACUAGCAAUAAAAAAUGUUUUAAAAA